rnacentral:rRNA from 1 species
UACAGAGGGGGCAAGCGUUAUUCGGAAUUAUUGGGCGUAAAGGGCGCGUAGGCGGCUUGGCAAGUGGAUGGUGAAAUCCCUCGGCUUAACCGAGGAACUGCCGUCCAAACUGCUUCGCUUGAGACCGGGAGAGGUGAGUGGAAUUCCCAGUGUAGCGGUGAAAUGCGUAGAGAUCAGGAAGAACAUCGGUGGCGAAAGCGCUCUGCUGGACCAUAACUGACACUCAGGGACGAAAGCUAGGGGAGCGAAUGGG